AAGUCGAACGGCAGCGGGAAGGAGCUUGCUCCUUUGCCGGCGAGUGGCGCACGGGUGCGUAACGCGUAUACAACCUACCUUAUACAGGGGUAUAGCCCAGGGAAACUUGGAUUAACACCCCAUAGUAAUAUGUUUUGGCAUCAUUACAUAUUUAAAACUACGGUGGUAUAAGAUGGGUAUGCGUCCCAUUAGCUUGUUGGUGUGGUAACGGCACACCAAGGCAACGAUGGGUAGGGGCCCUGAGAGGGGGGUCCCCCACACUGGUACUGAGACACGGACCAGACUCCUACGGGAGGCAGCAGUGAGGAAUAUUGGACAAUGGGCGCAAGCCUGAUCCAGCCAUGCCGCGUGCAGGAAGACUGCCCUAUGGGUUGUAAACUGCUUUUAUACGGGAAGAAACCCACCUACGUGUAGGUGGCUGACGGUACCGUAAGAAUAAGGACCGGCUAACUCCGUGCCAGCAGCCGCGGUAAUACGGAGGGUCCGAGCGUUAUCCGGAAUCAUUGGGUUUAAAGGGUCCGCAGGCGGCCAGAUAAGUCAGUGGUGAAAUUCCGUGGCUCAACCACGGAACUGCCAUUGAUACUGUUUGGCUUGAAUCAGUUCGAGGAUGCCGGAAUGUGUGGUGUAGCGGUGAAAUGCAUAGAUAUCACACAGAACACCAAUUGCGAAGGCAGGUGUCCAGAACUGUAUUGACGCUGAUGGACGAAAGCGUGGGUAGCGAACAGGAUUAGAUACCCUGGUAGUCCACGCCGUAAACGAUGGUCACUAGCUGUCCGGACUUAGGUCUGGGUGGCCAAGCGAAAGUGAUAAGUGACCCACCUGGGGAGUACGUUCGCAAGAAUGAAACUCAAAGGAAUUGACGGGGGCCCGCACAGGCGGUGGAGCAUGUGUUUAUUCGAUGAUACGCGAGGAACCUUACCAGGGCUUAAAUGCAUUAUGACAGGGGUGGGAGACACCCUUUUCUUCGGACAUUUUGCAGGUGCUGCAUGAUUGUCGUCAGCUCGUGCGUGGAGGUGUCAGUAGUCUAUACGAGCGCACCCUGUGUAGUGCAGCGAGUAUGUCGGACUCUAGCAGACUGCGUGCAACGCGAGGAGGUGGGAUGACGUCAUCAUCCGUCUACGCCUGGCCACAACGUGCUAAUGCAGUACGCAAGCACAUGGGGACAGAAAGAACUGUAAGCGGUCAAGUCGAUCGGACUCGACCUCCACUCCUGAACUGUAAGUCGCUUGAUAUCCAUAUAC
rnacentral:rRNA from 1 species